rnacentral:lncRNA from 1 species
UCGGGAAUAAAUUCAGCGACCAUCCCCAACGACUCGCUCGGAGCAGAGACCCGUCGCGACGCCAGAGAGACCUGUCGGGGAGGAGGAGGAGGAGGGUGAGUGGCGGUAAUGAUUCACCAAUCCUUCUCUCUAUGAUGGCCGGCGCUUGAUGGUGCUUGCCCCCGUCUUGUUGAUCGCAGCGGCAGCGGGAGGUGUGGUUCUGGUUCUGGUUCUUGGUGGCGUUGCUGGUCGACUCGGCGCGCUGGCAAUCGGCGUCGCUUCGAGGAGGGGGAGGGUGGCGGUCGCCGGAGGUGGUGGUGGAGGCGACGGGGAGGAGCGGAUCGGAGGUAACUGGCCGCGCCUUGACUUCCUCUUUUUUUUUCUUGCCUGCUU